rnacentral:misc_RNA from 1 species
UCCGGUUUGUCACCGGCAGUCUGCUUAGAGUGCCCAGCAUUAUCUGAUGGCAACUAAGCAUAAGGGUUGCGCUCGUUGCGGGACUUAACCCAACAUCUCACGACACGAGCUGACGACAACCAUGCACCACCUGUCUCCUCUGUCCCGAAGGCCGCUGCUAUCUCUAGCAGAUUCAGAGGGAUGUCAAGACCUGGUAAGGUUCUUCGCGUUGCUUCGAAUUAAACCACAUACUCCACUGCUUGUGCGGGUCCCCGUCAAUUCCUUUGAGUUUCAGUCUUGCGACCGUACUCCCCAGGCGGAGUGCUUACUGUGUUAACUUCGGCACCAAGGGUAUCGAAACCCCUAACACCUAGCACUCAUCGUUUACGGCGUGGACUAC